CCCUUAGAUGUUCUGGGCCGCACGCGCGCUACACUGAUGCAUUCAACGAGCCUAUCCUUGACCGACAGGUCCGGGUAAUCUUUGAAUCUGCAUCGUGACGGGGAUAGAUCAUUGCAAUUAUUAAUCUUCAACGAGGAAUGCCUAGUAGGCGCAAGUCAUCAGCUUGCGUCGAUUACGUCCCUGCCCUUUGUACACACCGCCCGUCGCUCCUACCGAUUGGGUGUGCUGGUGAAAUGUUCGGAUCGGCCGUUUGUCGCGGUUUCCGCGGCUCGUGGCUGAGAAGUUCAUUAAACCCUCCCACCUAGAGGAAGGAGAAGUCGUAACA
rnacentral:rRNA from 1 species